rnacentral:lncRNA from 1 species
GCAUUUUUAUCUGAAUUAGCUUCAUCAUGUCCAAUUGCUUCAACCUUUGGAACAAAUUGGCAUAUGAUACUCCGAUAGGGGUGAAAGCCUUUUCUUUUUUUAGUGGCGUCUCAUUCUUAAAUGCUUCCCGGGCAGGAAACCUGAUCCAGGAGGUUUUCGGUAUGCUCGUAUGGAUGGGUGGGCAUUCUGUGGAGCUCGAUAUGGGGAAAGUGAUGUACGAUUUUGGGAGUUCUAUGGAGAGAAGCAGCAUUAGGGAGGAUCAUCUGGUAUGCAAGGAUAUCGACGAGGACAAUGUCGAGGCUGGAAAUGUUGAUCAUCUUUUCUAUUUCUCUUUAUUUCGCUGAAGCUUACUUGGAUGUUCUGAAUGUCUUUCGAACCACUCAUGGUUUCGCCUAACUUGAUUCCCUCUUCUACUUGCUCCCC